rnacentral:rRNA from 1 species
CAACAACGGAUCUCUUGGCUCUCGCAUCGAUGAAGAACGCAGCGAAAUGCGAUACGUAAUGUGAAUUGCAGAAUUCAGUGAAUCAUCGAAUCUUUGAACGCACCUUGCGCCCCUUGGCAUUCCGAGGGGCACACCCGUUUGAGUGUCGUGACAUCCU